AGCGGCAGCGGGGGGAAGCUUGCUUCCCCGCCGGCGAGCGGCGGACGGGUGAGUAAUGUCUGGGGAUCUGCCUGAUGGAGGGGGAUAACUACUGGAAACGGUAGCUAAUACCGCAUAACGUCGCAAGACCAAAGUGGGGGACCUUCGGGCCUCACGCCAUCGGAUGAACCCAGAUGGGAUUAGCUAGUAGGUGAGGUAACGGCUCACCUAGGCGACGAUCCCUAGCUGGUCUGAGAGGAUGACCAGCCACACUGGAACUGAGACACGGUCCAGACUCCUACGGGAGGCAGCAGUGGGGAAUAUUGCAAAUGGGGGAAACCCUGAUGCAGCCAUGCCGCGUGUGUGAAGAAGGCCUUCGGGUUGUAAAGCACUUUCGCGGGGAGGAAGGGGAUAAGGUUAAUAACCUUGUUCAUUGACGUUACCCGCAGAAGAAGCACCGGCUAACUCCGUGCCAGCAGCCGCGGUAAUACGGAGGGUGCAGCGUUAAUCGAAUGACUGGCCGUAGAGCGCACGCAGGCGGUCUGUUAAGUUGGAUGUGAAUCCCCGGGCUUAGCCUGGGAACUGCAUUCAAAACUGACAGGCUAAGUCUCGUAGAGGGGGGUAAAAAUUCCGGGUGUAGCGGUGAAAUGCGUAAGAUCUGGAGGAAUACCCGGUGGCGAAAGCGGCCCCCUGGACGAAGACUGACGCUCAGGUGCGAAAGCGUGGGGAGCAAACAGGAUUAGAUACCCUGGUAGUCCACGCUGUAAACGAUGUCGAUUUGGAGGUUGUGCCCUUGAGGCGUGCCUUCCGGAGCUAACGCGUUAAAUCGACCGCCUGGGGGAGUACGGCCGCUAAGGUUAAAACUCUUAUGAAUUGACUGGGGGCCCGCACAAGCGGUGGAGCAUUGUGGUUUAAUUUCGAUGCAACGCGAAGAACCUUACCUACUUUUGACAUCCAGCGAAACGCUGUAGAGAUACUGGGGUGCUUCCUGUCGGUAGCGACUGAUGACAGAUGCUGCAUUGCCUGUCGUCAGCUCGUGCUGGUGGAAUGAUAGCGUAAGAUUCCCGCAAGCGAGU
rnacentral:rRNA from 1 species